rnacentral:rRNA from 1 species
UACGGAGGGGGCUAGCGUUGUUCGGAAUUACUGGGCGUAAAGCGCGCGUAGGCGGAUCUGCAAGUCGGGGGUGAAAUCCCGAGGCUCAACCUCGGAACUGCCUUCGAUACUGCGGGUCUCGAGUCCGGGAGAGGUGAGUGGAAUUCCUAGUGUAGAGGUGAAAUUCGUAGAUAUUAGGAAGAACACCAGUGGCGAAGGCGGCUCACUGGCCCGGU